UUGAGGAGAGCCGGCCCCUGCCCAGGCCACCGCCGGCCGGGCCACUGGAAGCCUCUCCCGGCCCGUGUCCUGCGGGGCCUGCGCUGGCGGCGCGGCGGGAGUGUUGUCCUUGGGCAGGCCCGAGCAGCCAGCGACCGUCCCUCCGUUUUGCAAGGCUCCCCUGGGAACACGGGCGGCUGGGGAAUGCGCUUGUCAACAGCUGCGGUGUGAGCAGAGCGUUGCGAGCGAGGGCAGGCUCGGUGCCCGAAAGUCACGGUGUCAGUCCUGAAAAAGGUGUUUGUGGAAGGCCGGGUUGCUAAGGAAUGGUUCUUAAUGUAGUUCGUUGUUGUGAUCAUGAUCCAGCGAAGCCUCUAUGUUCUCUCCAUGGUUGUACUUGCACAUUUCUUCAUUCCAUAACCCUGAAAAAAUGACUUUUGUAUUUUUAUAUCAGACACUAACAUACCCUCUUCAUUCCAGAUUAAUUCCAGUUCAAGAGUGAGAAGGAACACAUUCCAGUGACAUGCCACAGACUUCGGUGGUCCCGAGAGUGUCCAAGGAGGCUCUUUCUAGUCAGGAAAGCACCAGACAUCACUAAUGCAUACCCGAGUUGCUUCCUGCCAUACAGUUUAGGCUUUUGCCCAUUCACUUCUUAAAUUGUCUUUGGGCUUGAGUAGGAUAUGAGCUAUAUUAUAUUUUUAGUUACGUCUUUAGAGGAAUGGGCAGAUUCACUAGGUGAAUAGGGCAUCUAGUCCAAUAUCCGGUUUCAAGCACUGGCAUGAGCUGCUAUUGAGAAAAGAUUAAGAACUUUGGAAAAAAGAUAGUGGAAGAUACCUUAUUUCUUACGUGUUUAGUACCAGUCUCUGAUUAUGUUUCUAUAAACCGUUACUUUCUGCAAUGGCUUAAUAUCCCCAACAAAAAUGUUUUGCUUACUCUGAGAAUGUUGUAGAUUUUGAACACAACAAAGUAGAGCUGGAUGGACACUUCAAAAGUCAUUUAAUUCCUCUGCUUAGGCAAAAUUGUCUAUACUUAAAUAGUGUCUGAUAGAUAUUUAUCUAACCUACAGGUUAAGUUUAUUACUCUAUGUCCCUGCUCACAGCUGUGCUCUUCGUAGUAACCUUAGAUUCUGUAAAUGCUGCUGUUUCUCCCAUUGGUGGUCUCUACACUCAAUAGUCUUAGUCCUUUCCAUUUUCUACAGGUUUUUUAGUGUUCAAGCCCUUCUUAAUGUAUCAGGACAACUGACAUCUGGGAAUAAGUUUCACAGUUUUUUUCAUUAUAAAAAAAGCAGUUUGACACUUUUGCUUUCUCUUCAAAUUGUGGUUGGUGUGUCAUUAUGAGCCUGAGAUUGUACAAGUACGGUUCAAUUCUACAAUUGACAGAUUUCGGUCUGUAUGGAUAUGCCUCCUUCAGCACCCUCAAAAAUUGGUGUUAGGCAACAAAGGUUUAAGUGGAACCAGGCUCUAACUAGAGGGACUGAAAAAAUAAUGUUGUGGGCUUUUUUCCUCGUUUCAGCACGCCUUCUAUGUCUUGUAAGAUCACUUGAGUUCUGCUGCUAAAUAGACAUUUCAGAGUAGACUCCACUCUCCCCCCUCCCCCGCGUGACAGAAAGCCUCCUGUGACAUUCUUUUUCUGAAAUCCUAUAGCCUGAAGUGAUUUCUGGUAUAUUGCCAAAGCUAGUAGAACAAUUUCCCCCACCCGCUUUAAAACAGAUUCCGUGUCAGGCUUCACUUACAUACGACAUGUAUUGUAACUCUUUAAAUAAGCAAGAGCUCUUGUAUUUCACAGGCUAUUUAUGAACUUAAUGUAAAACUAUUUACACAUAGCUGAAGUUGCACAGAAAACCAAAAUUAUUUGUUUGCAACUGUGCUUAAUUUUUUUCUGUAUUGGCACAAAAUAUCAUUUAUUCAGUAACAAUUUAGUUGCCAAAAAUCUGGCUUGUAUUCUUAGACAUUAGGCAUCUUCUGUUGCAAGCAGGUAUAAAGUUACUAUUGCAGCUGCCACUUGAUAGAACUGGGAUAUUGGGGAUCCCUGGUAAAGAAAAGAGUUAAACCCUUCAAGCAUGUUGUGAAGUGCCUUUUCUGCACAUAGACCAUUUCCUGAAAGACUCUUCAAUUUGAUUUAUUGUUUAUAGUCUUACCUGCUGAAACAUGUUAUACAGCUUUAUAGUGUACUGUAUAUGCAGCAUAGUACUGGUAUAGGUAAUAUAAACAUCAGUAAUUUAAAGUUUCAAAUACUCAGAGAAGUGCAAAAUUCUGGCCACAUUUUAAAAAUGUUCCUUCAAGCUAGCAUUUUAAUCUGGACAUUGAAUGAAGCAUUAUAUUAAAUGUUUAUAUAUUUAAUGAAAUGUUUAGUCAUAUAUUCCCUAAAUAUAUGAGGAAAGAAUAAAAGGAAGUUAAUUAUCAGGAAUUGGAAGGCCUUUGAGAUUAAUUACUUACCUACCUUUUUAGACUGCAGUUUGUGUUCCAGUGCAGUUUUCAGAUCAGGGCUAUAUAGGAUAUUUCCAAGCUCCCGCAAUCCACAGCUAGGAUAUAAGUAGGUGGAGCAUGUCUUCACACCCUUUACUUCUUCAUCCCCAGGAAGAAGAGGAUAGCCUGGGAGUGCGGAGAUGGGCAGUGAUGCUAGGAAAACAUUUAGUGAUUGGCUAAGGUUUCUAGGUAGCUGUUUGACUGUGGGAGCAGAGAUAUUUUUAGAGAUGCUCUUAGAGAUUGCCAGGGAACAAACUUGUACCACUCUUUCUGGAUAUUUGAAGCAGUUUUGUAACAGGCUGUGACAAGGUUUGCAGUCAGUACAAAAGCUACUGAAUCCUACAAUAGGUAUGCCAUAGAAAGGAAAAUAUAUUUCCGGAAAUUAUUAUUAUCUUGGUAUAAGGACAUGAAGCAUCCUAUAGAUCAGGGAUGUGAAAAGAUUCCUCAGUCUGGAUACAUGUGAGGUUUUUUUGAGAUGGGUUGCUUUUGGGAAAGAUUUCACAAGUAAGGGAGAAGCUGAACAAGAAGACCCUUCAGUGGCAAUGUUCUGACUAAUGGCAAGUCAAAGUCAUUUUCUGUGAGAUGGCUGAAUUACUAUAUAGAACUAUUUGCCUGUAAGGUUCAGUGAAACAUCCAAACCUCUUGCUGUAAUGAUGAUGUUAUCUCAGCUUAUAUGAUUCUCCUGAACUUGAACUUAGGAUCUACAGAGUCUGACGUUUGUUAACAUGAAGAAGAGUCACUUUUUUUCCCCACUCAAGAGUGGAGAAGACUAGUCCUUUGGCCUGAGCUGUCAGAACAGUAGCAGACUGUUCUGUUGAAGCUUGUAGGUCAUGAAGUUAUGGUAAAGUCCUUUGAAGAAGUAGGGAGCACACAGGCUGGGAGGCCACAGCAAGGAAAAAAAAUGGCUGAUGUAAGUGUUGGAAAUGAUUUAAUGACAGUUACGGCAUUUCAUAGUCCUAUAACUUAGCAAACAUGAGCUACUCCGUGGCAGGAAAAAAUAGGCUUAUUAAUUCAUUACUUCCUUUUGAGGCAGAUAUGAGUAUAUUUUCUUUUUCAUAAGAGCAAGUACGUGUUUGUCACCCUGUGAUGAAGGAGUAAAGUUCACUGAGCCUCAAACAACCAUUAUUGCAAACAAACAAAUAUGUACGACUUGAUACUUGAUGGCAUCUGUUUCACGAGGGAAUGAGUGAUGCAUAUGGCAACAGGACUGCCCUCAUUCCUUAGCAUUGCUUAUACCCAGUAGGUUGCUAAAAUCUGAGGCUCUGGAUGAGAUCUUGCAAAAUUCAGUCAGGGUUUGUAGGGUUGCAGCUAGGCUUCAGAACUUCAGGAAAAUCUUGUUAUCGUUGGUAAAAAUUAGGAAUGGGGAUAGUUGACUCUUUCACAUGUGAAAUGCUUGGCAGGAAAGCUGUGGGUUGUUGAAGAGGACUUGACCCAGUUCUUUGUUGUUUUCAUUCAGGAAUAGAAAUGGUAACAUCAUGAAGCUGCAGCAGGACAUAUGGAAAAGAAAGGGCAUUGGUUAUAGCCCACUUUAAAUUAAUGGCACAUCUAACAGAGCAGUGUGGAACCUAGCAACCUGCUUGUUUUUCUGGAAUGGAAAUCAUACAGCUAAUGUCAUUUUAGACCUAGGCAGUAAAGCUUUGACUAAUGGAACAUGUUGCUGGGGGUGUUUUUUUCCAAAAGGAUGGUGGGCAGGACAAUCUUAAAAUAAGGGGUCUGGUCUUCUUGGUAAACAAGAGUAAACGUGAGACCAGAAAAAGGAAAACCAAUAUGAAAUUUCAAUGAUGAUGAAAUGAAAAUACUGUAAAGGAAUAAAUUAAUCAAACGCAUAAGAUGGUUAAGUCAGAAUAAGCAAUACUGUUCACUGCAAAGAAGUACUGAUUCAGAGCUAGGAUAAGGUUAAGGUGUUAUGACAUGCUGCAGUCAUUUAUGCCACAUGUGUGAGCUGCCCAUGAAUUUAGUAUGUUUUUGGCAGCUACUGGAGCUGAAAUGCCUUUGGAGUGAUUCUGCACCCACAGACUGAAUUUAGAUGUAUCCUUUCACAAAUGCUUUAGGCAAAACUCUUAGACGUGGGCAAGAAGACCCAACUAGGAGUAGCAGAAGAUGAUGAGAAAGAAGAGGAAGAUAUCUUCAGAAUGAGGGGAAUUGUCUUUCCUACUUGGCCACAAAGAGCAGUGUAGCCAAUAACAAAUAUGCAAGAAAAUGUCAGUCCUUUUUUGCCAAAGUAAUUGUUUGGACGAAUCAACGUCGUGUGAACAACAACUGAGCUGGGCCUGAAUACUGGGCUGGCAGAAGUGAUACCAGCAGUAGAAAAGGGCAUUCUGAAACCGAGGCUGUGGUUCAGUCUCCUCUGUUAUGGGAAGCCAGUCUGUGUUAUAUAGAUGUGACUGUGGGUUCCUUUUUGAUGUUGACCUCUUAAAAAACACAUAAGUGGCACUUUCUGUCCUUUCUAGUGGGUGAGGGAACAGUUCUAGUCAGCCAAAUCAUCAUUGGCCAUGGUUAUCCAUGCCUUCCCUUUGUGUUCUGAGCAGGCUGUAACAAGGUUCAAGUUUGUGCAGAACAACAUCCCAUGACUUUCAGGUUGUAUGAGAACUGGCAUACAAGGUGCAGAGCUACAAAUGAAGCUUGUGUUCCUAGUCCUCAACUGCAGAGCACAGCAAGUACAGCACAGGGGGUGCCUGGCCCCAUGCUCCACACUGUGGUUACUCCAUCGAGCAGUGGAGUCUACAGACUAAGGCUAAAACUUGUUUGUGUGAGUGCUGGUCUUAGGGAGUGGAAUGACUCUAAACACAAAGAGUGUGUAUGAGUUAAGCUUUGUUAUGGUUGGAAGUGGUUUGGCUUUCUGAUACUAGAGCUUGUGCCUUCUCAGUAUAAGGUGGUAGAGACACAUUGAAGAAACUGUAUAUGGAGCUUACAGAGAAGAAAUAAGCUACAGGCAAACUACUGACAAGUCAUUUUUGUAAUUUUCCCUGCUAUACCUGCUGUUAUACACUAUACCACUGAAAUCAGUCCAGUGAUAUACCACUUGGUUGCCUGGAAGAGAGCUAUCAGCAAUGAUAUAUAAUUUCCUUAAAGUGACACAUUUUAAAAAACUGGUCUUAACAGCUGUGUGCUUGAAGUUUUCUGCUUGAGCUGUUAGAAAACACAAAAUGCUGGAGCCUGUCUCACCACAUGCUGUAACAAGUACUUUGCAGUCAAACUUUGGCGAACAAAAAUGAUAAUGAUCAUGCAUAAUAAUAAUAAUAAUAAUAAUAAUAAUAAUAAUAUAAUGGCCAGUCUUCAAGCCCAGUUUCUCAGUACUGAAGCUCCUCUACAGCGCCAAUAGCAGCAAAAGCUUGCUUGAAGAGAUAAGCCAGAUACAUAUGAAUCACAGUCUGAGAGCAUCUCCUACAGUGAGCUGUAAACAUUCUCUUUAGAGCCUACUCCCCAGUAUAGAAUUUGUCAUUGUUACUUGGAAUUCUGGUAUGAAUAUUUGUAAUCAAGCUUUAACUUCUGAGAACAGAAUUUUGGAGGUUUUGUGUUUUCUGUUUAGUCUUGUUGCAGCACUCAGAUUUCCCAGACUGGAGUAGGAGCAGUCGUCUUGCUGAUGUGUAAAUGUAUGGGAAAAUGUAGACCUUCUCCAGAAUCAGAGGUCCUAAAGGACAAAAGAAAACAGCAGACAAACAUUAGUGGUAAGGGAUGUAACACAGACACCAAACCAUUAUCAUAAUCAUAGAUUAAUGCUCUCUCGUUCUUUACAUUAUCAUUGUCUACUAUUUCUUCUUCACUUUCUUGUUUCUUUUCUUUUGCCCUUACUUUCUUCUGUCAUCAAAGCCACUUCUUAUUCAGUCUGUAAAGGUUGACUUGAAUAUAUUUUGUCUAUAGUUAAUUAAGCAGUGGGAGAAUCCUCUUGGAGAGAUCUGCAUACUCAAGACAUGUCAUGUCAAUGUCAGUAUAUCCUGAAACGUAUAAACUGCUGCUAUUCAUAUUUCAAUGCCCUUUCUGAAUAGAUCCUUUAUGAAACAACUUACUAGUAUCUGCACCUGGAUUUGUUUGGUGUUGUCCAGGGCAUGUCUCACCAUCAGGAGGCAAAUUUGAUUAGGCAACUGGCAACAAGACAAGAUGAAAUGGCCUCAAGCUGCACCAGGGGAGGUUCUGGUUGGACAUCAGGAGGAAGUUGUUCAAGGAAUGGAUACCCAAGGAGUCACCAUCCAUGGAAAUGUUUAAGAAAUGACUGACGUGGCAGUUAGUGCCAUGGUAUAGUUGACAAGGUUGAGAUCAGUCAAAGGUUGGACUCGAUAAUCUUGGAGGUCUUUUGCAACCUAAAUGAUUGUGAUUCUGUGAAACUAGUUCUUCAUAUGCAGAUGGGCUAUUGACUGUAUGGUGGUGGGAUCCUGUCCCUUGGGAAGCAGCAGUUCCUGGCUCCUGCUGAAUUCCAGCAAGUUCAACCACUGAAUCAGAAAAGAAAAAUACAAUCUGACAUAUAAUCCUUGACAAGUUGCUGACCCUUGUAUCUGAGCGAUAAGAGGAAAUUAUUCUCUGUGUUCAUGCAGUUCUUUUCUCUGUAAACAGCAAUUCUUCAUCCACAGCCUUAAGAAAAAAAAAGUCGGUUGAAGGCAGAAAGCUCAGUCUCAUUUCUGAGUGUAAGAAGGCCCUUUUACAGAUGGUUGAAUUCAGCCUUGUCUGAAGUGAAUGUAACAAUUGCUUAAUAAUGUGAAGCCUUAAAUCAUAUCCAGCAGAUUCUGUAGGGGGAUUUUGCAGGCAGGAAGAAGUCAAUUUAUUCAAAGCUGGAUGCAGAUCAAGGUUUAUUGGCUUAUACACUGUAAACUUGAUAGCUCUAAAGUGGUAACUGACAUACUUUUGUAAAAUGUCAUUUGUGAGCAUGUGCAAUGCUGUAAGAAGGUGUUUUUCCAUCCAGGUCAAGAAACAACUUUUUACUUACUCAUUAAUCAGUUACACUUUUCUUGAGAAAAGGCAUGUAAUCCAACAUAAUAUUCCAAAAUUUACUGGAAAGAAAAAUCCAAGUAGAAGCUUUUCAGGUUAUGAUUAAGGAUUCCUUUGCUUGUUUGUUGGGUUUUUCCCCCCUUGGAAUAGUCAGAGUCAACAUAACCAGCAUGUUUUCUGGUAAGAGAAACCUUUACUUCAGCAGCAACCUUCUUAUCCUGUAUGAGAUUUUAUACUGUUAAUGCAGAGUGUCUGUGUUAACACUCAUUUAAAUGAGUUUGAUCCUGUUAUUUUUUUUUUCAUAGACAAGUCUAAAAUGCAAACAAAAAAAUGAUACCUCUGGCAGACAGAAUUAAUUUUCUGCAAGGGAGUUUCAUCUGUUUUGCUUAGCAAAAAUGUAAUGCUGAAAUAAUGUUUUGUGACAUUGGCUGUGUACAAAGGGAGACUGAAAAAUCACAUUUCCAUGGAAAAGUUUAAUGUAUAAAAAAAGAAGUAGAGGGAAAUUCUGUUCUCAGUGAAGUUAAUUUUUUUCUCUUGUCUUUUACAAGGUCAGUUUUCAUCUCACCAGUUGAGUAAAUGCAAUCUAACAAAAAAUGUUAAGAGCCACAGUGACAGAGGUAACAAUUCAACAGCUGGAGGAUCAGUGUGGGCUACUUUCAGGAAUCACCCACAUACAGAAGAAAGAAAUACUCCCCUGGAGACUGCAGACCCUUGAAGAUACCCAAAUGGUUGCCAAAACAAAAAUGUCAUAGAAUCACAGAAUUGUUUAGUUUGGAAAAAACCCUUUAAGAUCAUGAAGUCCAGCUGUUAGCUGAGAACUGCCAAGUCUACCACUAAACCACGUCCGUAAGUGCCAUAUCUACACAUCUUCUAAAUAACCUCAAGGAUGGUGACUCCAUUACUACCCUGGACAGUUUGUGCCAAUGCUUGACGUCUUGUUACUUGGGAGAAGAGACUGACCACUACUUGGCCACAACCUUCUUUCAGGCAGUUGUAGAGAGCAAGAAAAUCUCUCCUGAACCACCUCCUCUUGAGGCUAAACACCCUCAGCAACCUCAGCCACUCCUCACAGGACUUGUGCUCCAGAGUCUCUCCCAGCUCCAUUGCCCUUCUGUGGACUCGCUUCAGACCCUCAAUGUCCUUACAGGGGUGAGGGGCCCAGAACUGGAUUUGAAGUACAGCUUCACUAGUGCUGAGUACAGAGGGAUGAUCACAACCCUGGUCCUUCUGGCCACACUAUUGCUGAUCCAAGCCAGGAUGCCUGUGACCUUGCCACCUGGGCACACUGCUGGCUCAUGUUCAGCCUCUGUCAACUAAUACUCCCAGGUCCUUUUCCACUAGGCAGCUUUCCAGCCACUCUUCCCAUAGCCUGUAGCACUCCCUGGGAUUGUUAUGAUCCAAGUGCAGGACUUAGCAUUUGGUCAGGUUGAACCUCAUAAAACUGGCCUUAGCCCAUUUAUCCAGCCUGUCCUGAUUCUUCUGCAGAGCCUUUCUGUUCUCCAGGAGAUCAACACUCUCAACUUAGUGAGGAUGCCCUUGAUUCCCUCAUCCAGAUCAUUGAUAAGGAUAUUAAAUAGGACUGGCUUAAAUACUGAGCCCUUUGGGACACCACUUGUGACCGGCUGCCAACUGGAUGUAACUCCAUUCACCACCACUCUCUGGGUCCUACCAUCCUGACAGUUUUUACCCUGUGAAGAGUGCACCUGUCCAAGUCAUGUGCUGCCAGCUUCUCCAGAAAAGUGAUGUCAAAGGCUUUAAUGAAGUGCAGGUUAGACAGCAUUCACAGCUUCUCCCUGAGAAGAUCAGGUGGGUCAAGCAGCACCUGCCUUUCCUAAACCCAUGAUGGCUGGGCCUGAUCUCCUAGUUGUCCUGCAUGCUCUUAGUGAUGGCACUCACACUGAUCUGCUCCAUGACCUUCCCAACACCAGGGUCAGGUUGACAGGCCUGGAUCCCCCUUUCAGCCUGUCUUGUAUGGUGACAUCACAUUUGCCAUCCUCCAGUCAACUGGGGCCAGCCUGGUUAGCCAGGACUGUUGGUAAAUGAUGAAAAUGGCUUGGUGAGCUGUUCCACCAGCUCCCUCAGUACCCUUGGGUGGAUCCUAUCUGCCCCCAUAGACCUGUGUGUGUCUAAGUGGUGUAGCAGGUAAUUGACUGUCUCCCCUUGGAUUAUAGUCUUCAUUCUGCCCAUCUCUGUCUUCCACAUCAGUGGGCUGAGUAUCCAGAAAAAAACUGGUUUUGCUAUUAAAGACUGAGGGAAAUAAGGCAUUAAGUUCCUCAUCUGCUUCCUCAUCCCUUGUCACAAUGUCUCCCUCUGCAUCCAGUAAAUGAUAGAGAUUUUCCUUUUGUUGGUGGUGUAUUUUUAGAAACAUUUUUUCUUGUCUUUUACAGUAGUAGGCAUUUUAAAUUCUUGUUGAGUUUUGGCCCUUCACUAGGAUGUUUUUCUCUGUAAAAAUUCUCUUUUGACCUGAGACAUGAUUUCUGUUAUGAAAAUAUAUUUAAAAAUAGCUUGAAAGGCGGUUUCUCAGACUAAGACUGAAAUUGUUGGUAGAUGGGCUUGCAAGGAAGUAGUUCACACCUGUGGUGACAUUUCUUUGUGGGUCUCUUCAUUUAGAGAACAUUUUGACACAGAUCUAAUACCUCUCAACUUCAGGCAGCUGAGAGGAUUAAAUUUUUUCUUAAAAAAUGGUUGGAAAAAAUAAAUCAACUUGAUUGUCAAUGUAAUAUUUUUACAUAGGUAAAUAAUACAAAGUGAUUAUCUGUAGCAACAAAAAAAAAACCCAACCCAACCUAAACUGUUGUGUGGAAUGCAGAAUUUAUCACACUCCUAGAGAUUGUAAACUUGCAGAAAUGCAUAUGAAUGUGAGAAUUAGCUGAUGUCUGACAGCAUUGAGAAGAUGGGCCAGGAGAUGAGUAAAGUUUCUACUCACGUAAACCAUAAAUAAGUGACAUUUAGUGCAGAGACAGAAGUCUACAGGCUUUAUUCAUAUUUUAAAUUAGCAUAUUUUAAAUUAUCACUCGAAGCAAUUUGUACUUGUUAGUUUGAACUGGCCCAGUUGUUGAACUUAGCCCAACAUUUGGGUAACUAAACUUGUAUUAUGGAGUUCAGAAUGUUAAACAAGGGAGUUAUGCUAAUGUGGAUUUUAUUUUCAUGGCUCUGUGUAUUUGGUUGGCAAAACAAACUUUUCAGACUGGUCUGUUGAUGUAAAAGAGUAUGUCAUUAAGAACUGAACUCAUCCUAUAGCUUUCCACUGGCCUCUGUGGUUUGAAUUGGUGAUUUUGGUUCAGCUCACAGAAGCCAGUUGUGUAAGCACUGUUAGCACUGGCCUUUUAAAUCUUGAAGGCAUGACAACCCCACUUUGUCCUCAUCACUUUGCUAUGUUUAACCUGUAAAUACAACUCUGCAUUCCAAGUACUGUUCACCCAGCAAGUUGUCUGGGGGAAAAUGAUGUGCUGAGGUGCUUACCAAAUGGUGCUACCCAAGAAAAGUUGCACUGACUACAUGUAUGUCGUGGUUUUGCCCAGCCAGCCAGCCCCUGGGGCUGAGAAUGGUUUUGUCCAGGUGGAUUUCCAGACAAGAAGCCAAUUAAAACUCUCACUAAUGCCUUUGUUAAUUACAUAUUUAAGAAAAAUGGAAGAGAAGGUUGGUGGCGUAGUUGAAAUUAGUAGCAGUAGCCAUGCAGGAGAGACGGUGGGCCCCGAGGUGGGCCAAGGCCCCCUCCUCUCCUGGCCUGGACCAGGGGCAAGUGUAGCACUGAAGUCCUCUCUUCUCUUAUGUAAGAGAGUGAAGAAAAAAAUAAACUUUAAAGGACUGACUGCUUGGAUGAGAAACGCUGCAGAAGAAAUUCCAGCAAAGAGAUAAUGAAGUGUCCAAGGUCAAAGCUGGCAGCUACAGGAGAGAGAAGAAAAGUGCAAAGGGGGGCUUGCUGCUCCCUCCUUUCGGUCUCUCCCUUCAGCAGGGAAAAGACUGAAAAAUAAUCCCUACCACCUGUAGAAGAUUGUUGGGGUGAGGAGACCCUCAUGCAGCUCACAGAGGAGCUUGUGGAUGUACCAGGGAGCCGAGACUUCAUGAGAGGCCUGAGGUGAGGCAGAGUCCUGUUGAAGAUUUGUGACCCUGAGGAAAAUCUACACUGGAGCGAGAUGGCCCGGGUAGGAUGUUGGAAUCCAUGUGUGAAAUCCAUGCCAGACCCACGUUGGAGAGGUCUAUCAAGAACUGUUCUCCCGUGGGGAGGGACCUCCACAGAAAACGGGUGGACUCAUAAGCCAUUAUCCCCUGUAAUCCUGUGGAAGAAGAUCCAUGGUAAGCAAGUGUCCCCUUGCAAGUCCAUGGAAAAGAAAACCUUCAGGGCCUGGGUAAUCCCCAGCCUCUGGUCUUAGCCAAGGAGGAGGGUAGGCCCAGCCCUGGAGGCUGACACAGAGCAAGAGAGAAAGAAAAAGAGUUCCAGCUGCAACAAGAGUACUGCAGAGUUAUUGAAGAGACCUGGAGCUCCGAGAAUGGAGAAAGAGGCUGCUUCUCCUCCUUGGACUGAUAUAAAGGGGGGAGAAGUAUUUCUGUAAAUACAUAGUUCUUUUACUUAAGUAAAACUGUUGUAAUUAUAGUUCUUUAGUUUUAGCUUACUAGUAAUAAAUGUUAAUAUUAUUUUCCCAAAUCAGGCCUCUUUUGUCUGCAUAAACCUUCUCUCAACUAAUAGUAAUUGUGUGUGGGGUGUGAGAGCAAAUUGACCCAGAGCAAAACCAUGACAAUGUAGCAUAUCUGCUGUACCUUCAUGGGUGGUAUUAGAAGGCAACAACAUUUUUAUUUGGAUUAGCUAGAGGAUGUGAAACAAAACCGUCCUCUGUGACGAUGAGUAUUAUGUUAUGAGUUCAGUUAGAAUUCUCAAAACCUGUCAGGAGAGCAGCUGGAACAUGCUCUUCAUGUAUUAACUUGUUUAAUCUUUUUUCUGUAGUUUGGGAUGUCAGAGUGGUACUGUGACUCCAAAAUCUCUGCCUAUGCUCUUCCAUCUUCUAAGAGAAUUAAGGAGAUGAAAGGACAAAGAAGAUCAACGAGACAAAAUUAGAGCUAAUCUCAGCUGGCACCUCUACCUUCCUAACCCAGAGACUAAUCACACAAAGUAACUACCAUGAAGAAGGCUGGCACUUCAUUUACCUGAAGAUAAAGUCAAUUUCUCGGUCCUUUCCUUCUGCAGAUUUUUGCGAAGAAUAAGCAUAGUCCAGUGGCUAGGAUCUGCUGUUAGGCUCUAUGUCUACACUGUGCCCUGAGAAUAGCCACCUAAAAUCUUUUCAGCCCUUAAUUUGCUUCCUGCAUUCCUCCACCUGAUUGUCAUAAAUUUUGAACACUCAAAACAAGCUCCUGUAGGGAGGAAAAAUAGAAAUAUUUUGGAGGGUUAACACCUGAACACUGAAGUUAGUCCCUGUCAGCCCCAGUUCUAAGAAAUCACUAUUGGAAAUUUAGUGUGUCAUCCUUCUGCCAUAUGUGCCAUUGGGAUAAUACUAUUUGCAAGCCUACUGGGAAGAUUUCAGUGAUGGAAUGAUUACUUUUUGUUAAGUGCUAAAUUUCAUUAGAAUGUAUAAAAAUAUCCUCCAGUUUGCUACAAAAUCUCUGUGGAUUUUAGGAAGCAGGCACUAUCCUCACAUAAAAACUGACAGGAGAAUAAAAGCUCUGUGAAAGCAGACUCUCUUCCUGUUUGCCACCUUACCAAAAAACACCAGAAGCAAGCAAAAACUGGUGCUUGCUUUUUUUGUCCCCCUCAUUUACAUAAAGAACUCAUCCUGGUUCCUGCCACAGUUUUACGGUAUGCUUUUUACACUUAUCUGACAUGUGCUGAUCUUAUAUUUACAAAAUAUGGAAAACUAGUGUUGGUAGGUGUGACAGUCAAAUGUAAUUUUCUUUGUGAAAAUUAAAUUGGAAAAGUAUUUCUUGCUGUUUUGUGUGACAAUUAUCACAAUUAAGAAGGUGGUGCU